rnacentral:rRNA from 1 species
CCCGCACAAGCAGCGGAGCGUGUGGUUUAAUUCGUUGCUACACGAAGAACCUUACCUGGGUUUGACAUAUAGGUUGUAGGGAACUGAAAAGGGACCGACCUUCGGGGAGCCUAUACAGGUGUUGCAUGGCUGUCGUCAGCUCGUGUCGUGAGAUGUUCGGUUAAGUCCGCUAACGAGCGCAACCCUCGUCGUAUGUUAUAUGUGUCAUACGAGACUGCCGGUAAAAGCCGGAGGAAGGUGAGGAUGAUGUCAAGUCAGCAUGACCUUUAUAUCCAGGGCUACACACACGCUACAAUGGUCUGUACAAUGGGUAGCCAAGCCGCGAGGCGGAGCCAAUCCUGAAAGCAGGCCUCAGUUCAGAUUGCAGUCUGCAACUCGACUGCAUGAAGCCGGAGUUGCUAGUAACCGCAGGUCAGCAAUACUGCGGUGAAUACGUUCCCGGGUCUU